UACGGGGGGGGGCAAGCGUUGUUCGGAAUUACUGGGCGUAAAGGGCUCGUAGGCGGCCAACUAAGUCGGAUGUGAAAUCCCCAAGCUUAACUUGGGAACUGCAUCCGAUACUGGAUGGCUUGAAUCCGGGAGAGGGAUGCAGAAUUCCAGGUGUAGCGGUGAAAUGCGUAGAUAUCUGGAAGAACACCUAUGGCGAAGGCAGCUCUCUGGGACGGUACUGACGCUGAGACGCGAAAGCGUGGGGAGCGAACAGG
rnacentral:rRNA from 1 species